UGUUCUAACGUGGACCCGUAAUCCGGGUUGCGGACAGUGUCUGGUGGGUAGUUUGACUGGGGCGGUCUCCUCCUAAAGAGUAACGGAGGAGCACGAAGGUUGGCUAAUCCUGGUCGGACAUCAGGAGGUUAGUGCAAUGGCAUAAGCCAGCUUGACUGCGAGCGUGACGGCGCGAGCAGGUGCGAAAGCAGGUCAUAGUGAUCCGGUGGUUCUGAAUGGAAGGGCCAUCGCUCAACGGAUAAAAGGUACUCCGGGGAUAACAGGCUGAUACCGCCCAAGAGUUCAUAUCGACGGCGGUGUUUGGCACCUCGAUGUCGGCUCAUCACAUCCUGGGGCUGAAGUAGGUCCCAAGGGUAUGGCUGUUCGCCAUUUAAAGUGGUACGCGAGCUGGGUUUAGAACGUCGUGAGACAGUUCGGUCCCUAUCUGCCGUGGGCGCUGGAGAACUGAGGGGGGCUGCUCCUAGUACGAGAGGACCGGAGUGGACGCAUCACUGGUGUUCGGGUUGUCAUGCCAAUGGCACUGCCCGGUAGCUAAAUGCGGAAGAGAUAAGUGCUGAAAGCAUCUAAGCACGAAACUUGCCCCGAGAUGAGUUCUCCCUGAGACUUAGAGUCUCCUGAAGGAACGUUGAAGACGACGACGUUGAUAGGCCGGGUGUGUAAGCGCAGCGAUGCGUUGAGCUAACCGGUACUAAUGAACCGUGAGGCUUAACCUUACA
rnacentral:rRNA from 2 species